AUUGAACGCUGGCGGCAGGCUUAACACAUGCAAGUCGAGCGGAGCGAGGGUGCUUGCACCUUAGCUUAGCGGCGGACGGGUGAGUAAUGCUUAGGAAUCUGCCUAUUAGUGGGGGACAACAUUCCGAAAGGGAUGCUAAUACCGCAUACGCCCUACGGGGGAAAGCAGGGGAUCUUCGGACCUUGCGCUAAUAGAUGAGCCUAAGUCGGAUUAGCUAGGUUGGGGGGGUAAAGGCCUACCAAGGCGACGAUCUGUAGCGGGUCUGAGAGGAUGAUCCGCCACACUGGGACUGAGACACGGCCCAGACUCCUACGGGAGGCAGCAGUGGGGAAUAUUGGACAAUGGGCGAGAGACUGAUCCAGCCAUGCCGCGUGUGUGAAGAAGGCCUUUUGGUUGUAAAGCACUGUAAGCGAGGAGGCGACUACUAGUAUUAAUACUACUGGAUAGUGGACGUUCCUCGCAGAAUAAGCACCGGCUAACUCUGUGCCAGCCGCCGCGGUAACAC
rnacentral:rRNA from 1 species